rnacentral:rRNA from 1 species
UACAUGGGGUGCAAACGUUGUUCGGAAUUACUGGGCGUAAAGCGCACGUAGGCGGAUCCUUAAGUCAGGGGUGAAAUCCUGGAGCUCAACUCCAGAACUGCCUUUGAUACUGAGGAGCUCGAGUCCGGGAGAGGUGAGUGGAACUCCGAGUGUAGAGGUGAAAUUCGUAGAUAUUCGGAAGAACACCAGUGGCGAAGGCGGCUCACUGGCCCGGUACUGACGCUGAGGUGCGAAAGCGUGGGGGAGCAAACAGG